rnacentral:rRNA from 1 species
GAUGAACGCUGGCGGCGUGCCUAAUACAUGCAAGUCGAGCGAACAGACGAGGAGCUUGCUCCUCUGACGUUAGCGGCGGACGGGUGAGUAACAAGUGGAUAACCUACCUAUAAGACUGGGAUAACUUCGGGAAAAAGGAGAUAAUAACGGAUAAUAUAUUGAACCGCAUGGAUCAAUAGUGCUAGAAGGUUUUGCUGUCAGUUUUAGAUGGUUCCGGGCUGGAUUAGCUAGUUGGUAAGGUACCGGCUUACCAAGGCAACGAUCCGUAGCCGAGCUGAGAGGAUGAUCGGCCACACUGGAACUGAGACACGGUCCAGACUCCUACGGGAGGCAGCAGUAGGGAAUCUUCCGCAAUGGGCGAAAGCCUGACGGAGCAACGCCGCGUGGGUGAUGAAGGUCUUCGGAUUGUAAAACUCUUUUAUUAGGGAAGAACAAAUGUGUAAGUAACUAUGCACGUCUUGACGGUACCUAAACAGAAAGCCACGGCUAACUACGUG